UCCGGGGGAAGCUCACCGCCGAGGCCACCCACGGGGUGCCCGUCACCCGCCGGCCCCGCCUCGGGGAAGGUCUGAGGGAAGGGCCGCCCGCGGCCCCAGCAGGGCCCCGCCCGCGCGGGCGGGUGAGCCACCAGCAAGGGGGGGCGCCGCGCAGGGCCGGCCCGGGCAGGAGAAGCGGGGGCGGGGGAAGCCCCCAUCGGCCGGCCAACCCCAGCCCCGCGGAUGCUCGUGGCCCCGCGGGGCCUUGAGACAGACUCACGGCCGGCGCGCUGAGUCCAAUGGGUGGGGUGGGGCACGGCCCCACAACCCAAUUCAGACUACUCUCCCCCGGG
rnacentral:RNase_P_RNA from 1 species